UAUGAGCUGAAAGAAUAUCUUGGCCAAAUUAUUCCAUCCCACCAGCAUCAGGAGAAGGGAACCAAACUGUAUCAGAGAGCUCCACAGGAAACCCAGUGUGGGAGUAAGGAGGCAUUUCUCCACCAGCUCUGCAGUGAAGCAGAUCUCCCUGGAUGCUCUCCCCAUAGCAGCACAGCCCACGACAGCCAGGACUGUGGAAAGUGGAAAUCCAGGACCCCAAAGCCAGGGUGCCAGCUCUUCAUCUAGACCUCUGUUCCUGCCUCUCAGCUACCCGUCCCUCCUGCCUGGGAGCCAUGGAUAAAAACAACUACCUGCUCUGUCUGGAAACCAACACCAGAGGCUGGUAGACGGAGAAUCAUUUGAAAGAAAACCUUCUUGGCUGCAGAUUGCACACACAUUUUUGAACAUCUCAGAGUAAAAAGGAAUGGUUCAACUCGCUUGUCAAAUCUAAACGGGUGCAAAAUUUAUAUAUGUGUGCCCACUCACCUCUCCCCCCAACCAGGGUGUAAAGCUCUCCCUUGGAAGAAUGUCAAUAGUGACAACGAGGUCAAUCUAUGCAGCUGUGGUGUAAAUCUUUCCCGAAAUCAACUGCACGGAUGUGUUCGUCCUCCCUGGGGGCCUGCAACCAAAUAAUGCAGGCUGUGUGACUGUGUCCCUGACUGGCUCCCUGCUGUCCAACCCCCUCUCGGUGCAAACCCGUCCUGCAAGCUGCCGUCGCUCGCGUCCUCCGGGGGCUUAACCAGCAAUAAGCCGUCUCUGCAGAGAAGGACAUGUGACGGCUUUGAGCUCCAUCACGUGACACGCGCUGGGAGUUAAGAGCAGUUGCUUUUCCUUGGCUUUCGAGACUCUCCCUGUUUGGUCACAAUCCUGUUUUCCAAAGCCUCCUUCACUCCACUCACUCCCUGAGCCACCUGCCCCCUUCCAGCUUCCCAGACCUGCUGCGACCUCCUGCUGUAAGCUUCCCUGUGAUCUGAACCUCUUCUUCCCAGCCCUCUUCCCCAUCCUUCAGUGGGUCUUCCUCACUGGUUACCUGAAGUGUCUGGCAGACAGGUGCUUCGAAAAUGUUUGCUCACUGACGGAGAGACGGCUUUAGCAGCCCAGUCUUUCAGUGUUUCAUUUAGCUGUUUGCUCAACAUGGCAGGAUGGUUCUAGGCCAAGCCUAGGCCACCGUUGUUUUCUCUACCUGGGAUGUCCUUACCUCUUCCCCACAAUCCACAUCCUAUUUACCCUUCCUACUGGGCUCAUUCUCCUCUCCAAGGCCACCCCUCUUGCCUAACCCAUCAGAUCCAGUGGGAGUUUUCCCUCUUUUUUUUUUUUAAAGAUUUUAUUU